ACGAACGCUUGCGGCGUGCUUAACACCUGCCAGUUGAACGGAAAGGCCCCUUUGUGGGUACUGGUGUGGCGAACGGGUGGGUUACGCGUGAGUAACCUGCCCUUCCUUUCGGGAUAGCUUGAGGGACCUGGGGCUAAUACCGGCUGGGAAUCCUUUCUGGAUGGAGGGGGUUGGAAAGCUUCGGUGGUUUUGGAUGGACUGGCGGCGUAUCGGCUUGUUGGUGGGGUAGUGGGUUCCCACGGCUUUGACGGGUAGACGGCCUGUGAGGGCGACCGGCAACAUUGGGACUGAGGGACGGCCCAGACGCCUACGGGAGGCAGCAGGGGGGAAGAUUGCACAAUGGGCGGAAGGCGGAUGCAGCAACGCCGCGGGCGGGAUAACGGCCUUCGGGUUGUAAAACGCUUUCAGCAGAAGCGAGGCUUGUGGUGACGGUACCUGCAGAAGAAGCACCGGCUAACUACGUG
rnacentral:rRNA from 1 species